CCUUCGAUAGCUCAGUUGGUAGAGCGGAGGACUGUAGUGUGUAAACGGUAAUCCUUAGGUCGCUGGUUCGACUCCGGCUCGAAGGA